GAUCAUGGCUCAGGAUGAACGCUAGCUACAGGCUUAACACAUGCAAGUCGAGGGGCAGCAUGGUCUUAGCUUGCUAAGGCUGAUGGCGACCGGCGCACGGGUGAGUAACACGUAUCCAACCUGCCGUCUACUCUUGGCCAGCCUUCUGAAAGGAAGAUUAAUCCAGGAUGGGAUCAUGAGUUCACAUGUCGCAUGNUUAAAGGUAAUUUCGUUACGUACGA
rnacentral:rRNA from 1 species